UGGGGAAUAUUGCACAAUGGGCGCAAGCCUGAUGCAGCCAUGCCGCGUGUAUGAAGAAGGCCUUCGGGUUGUAAAGUACUUUCAGUCGGGAGGAAGGUGUCAAGGUUAAUAACCUUGGCAAUUGACGUUACCGACAGAAGAAGCACCGGCUAACUCCGUGCCAGCAGCCGCGGUAAUACGGAGGGUGCAAGCGUUAAUCGGAAUUACUGGGCGUAAAGCGCACGCAGGCGGUUUGUUAAGUCAGAUGUGAAAUCCCCGGGCUCAACCUGGGAACUGCAUCUGAUACUGGCAAGCUUGAGUCUCGUAGAGGGGGGUAGAAUUCCAGGUGUAGCGGUGAAAUGCGUAGAGAUCUGGAGGAAUACCGGUGGCGAAGGCGGCCCCCUGGGCGAAGACUGACGCUCAGGUGCGAAAGCGUGGGGAGCAAACAGG
rnacentral:rRNA from 1 species